GCGCAAGGCUGGACGACGAGGAGCCAUCAUCUUUUGUGGCUGUCGCGCCGAGGAAAGUUAGGUCGCCAUAGCAGCCUUGAAAUGAGUUACGCGCUCACGGAUGGAUAGGGCCGGGGGCGGGGGAGUGACGAGGGGGACCGGAAAACAUUAAGUGUCCUCGGGUACUUGCGGGAGAUGCUUUCCUGGCUUUUGCACACGGAGGGCGAGGCAAAGUUUGGAGGCAGAUGACGCGCCGGGCGCUCCCCUCCUUCCGCGGCUCGCCCAGCCCCCGGGUAACCGGGCGGAGACUGCGCACGUCCGCGUGUGGGGCGGGGGAGGUGGCAGAAGCGGAGGAAAGAGGACGGAGGGGACGAGCUCCGGGAGGAAAAUGAGGCUGUGGCGUGUGGGAGCCCGGAGCGCAAAAUAGGCUGAUCUUUUCAUUCAGGAGGCGUCUCCGUGGAGACUGAGGAGGUGCUAGGAGUCCCCUGGGGUGCUGUCAGCGCCGCUUGCUGAGUUUCUGCGGAAGAGUGAAAUACGAGGGAGCUAGUGAGCGAAGAGGAGUGGAGAAAUUGCCAGCAGCCACACUGCCGUGGUCCCACAAGGCACAAACCCCACCCCCUUCUGUGCCGAUCCCACAAGGCUACAGGCUCAGCACGCCCCUUCUCCAUCACAGCCAAGAUUCCAGAAUGACCACUGGUAUGCUGCAGCCUCAUGUGGAGAUGCUGCGACACCUCUGGGAUUCCCAAAGAAAAGGACAGGAAGGUGUGCAGUACUAAAGUCCCACCCUGACCUCACUCUGAAUAUUCACUCGGGCCACUGGCCCU
rnacentral:lncRNA from 1 species